rnacentral:rRNA from 1 species
GCAUAUCAAUAAGCGGAGGAAAAGAAACCAACAGGGAUUGCCUCAGUAACGGCGAGUGAAGCGGCAACAGCUCAAAUUUGAAAUCUGGCCCUUUCAGGGUCCGAGUUGUAAUUUGGAGAAGAUGCUUCGGGUGUGGCCCCGGUCUAAGUUCCUUGGAACAGGACGUCAUAGAGGGUGAGAAUCCCGUACGUGACCGGUGGCCUCCCCCGUGUGAAGCUCUUUCGACGAGUCGAGUUGUUUGGGAAUGCAGCUCAAAAUGGGUGGUAAAUUUCAUCUAAAGCUAAAUAUUGGCCAGAGACCGAUAGCGCACAAGUAGAGUGAUCGAAAGAUGAAAAGCACUUUGGAAAGAGAGUUAAACAGUACGUGAAAUUGUUGAAAGGGAAGCGCUUGCAACCAGACUUGCGCGCGGCCGAUCAUCUGGUGUUCUCACCGGUGCACUCGGCCGCGCUCAGGCCAGCAUCGGUUUGGGUGGCUGGAUAAAGGCCUCGGGAAUGUGGCUCUCUUCGGGGAGUGUUAUAGCCCGAGGUGCAAUGCAGCCUACCCGGACCGAGGACCGCGCUUCGGCUAGGAUGCUGGCGUAAUGGUUGUAAGCGACCCGUCUUGAAACACGGACC